UACGUAGGGGGCAAGCGUUGUCCGGAUUUAUUGGGCGUAAAGAGCGUGUAGGCGGUUUGGUAGGUCCGCUGUGAAAACUCGAGGCUCAACCUCGAGACGCCGGUGGAAACCAUCAGACUAGAGUCCGGAAGAGGAGAGUGGAAUUCCUGGUGUAGCGGUGAAAUGACGCAGAUAUCAGGAAGAACACCCGUGGCUAAGGCGGCUCUCUAGUACGGUACUGACGCUGAGACGCGAAAGCGUGGGGAGCAAACAGG
rnacentral:rRNA from 1 species